GCCACCAUGGUGAAACUGGUAGACACGCUAGAUUCAAAAUCUGGUAUCUUCGGAUGUGUCGGUUCGAGUCCGACUGGUGGUACCA
rnacentral:tRNA from 3 species